GUUGAGUUGAGUUGAGUUGAGAAAGUGUGAUUCUUUAAGAUUCAAUAACCACGAGGAUUUUGGGAAAAGUAAUAGAUGCUAGUUUUAUAAGUAAUUCCUUUUCUAUGUGUUCCGUUGGUUAGAUGUUAGAGUAGUUAUUUGGUUUUUCUACUGAGGUUAAUUUUUGGAAUAUGACUCCUUGGAUCUGUCAAGAAUUUAAUUCAUUACAUGAUCCUGGUGCCUAUCUUUACAGCUGUUUUGCAUGCAACAUUCUGCAUUUUAUUUCUUAGUUUAGAUUAUGGAACUUUCUAUGAUAUAACUCGUUUUGCAUCUUAUCGAUAAUAAUAAACACUUUGUUCAUUGUGGGUUACAGAACCAUGAUUCAGGAAAUGAUUA
rnacentral:misc_RNA from 1 species